GCGGAGUUUUGAAAAGCUUGCUUUUCAAAACUUAGCGGCGGACGGGUGAGUAACACGUGGGCAACCUGCCCUUGAGACGGGGAUAACUCCGGGAAACCGGAGCUAAUACCGGAUAACACAUAUCUUCGCAUGAGGAUAUGUUAGAAGGUGGCUUUUAGCUACCACUCAAGGAUGGGCCCGCGGCGCAUUAGCUAGUUGGUGAGGUAACGGCUCACCAAGGCGACGAUGCGUAGCCGACCUGAGAGGGUGAUCGGCCACACUGGGACUGAGACACGGCCCAGACUCCUACGGGAGGCAGCAGUAGGGAAUCUUCCGCAAUGGACGAAAGUCUGACGGAGCAACGCCGCGUGAGUGAUGAAGGUUUUCGGAUCGUAAAGCUCUGUUGUUAGGGAAGAACAAGUACCUGUUAAAUAAGCAGGUACCUUGACGGUACCUAACCAGAAAGCCACGGCUAACUACGUGCCAGCAGCCGCGGUAAUACGUAGGUGGCAAGCGUUGUCCGGAAUUAUUGGGCGUAAAGCGCGCGCAGGCGGUUCCUUAAGUCUGAUGUGAAAGCCCACGGCUCAACCGUGGAGGGUCAUUGGAAACUGGGGAACUUGAGUGCAGAAGAGGAGAGCGGAAUUCCACGUGUAGCGGUGAAAUGCGUAGAGAUGUGGAGGAACACCAGUGGCGAAGGCGGCUCUCUGGUCUGUAACUGACGCUGAGGCGCGAAAGCGUGGGGAGCGAACAG
rnacentral:rRNA from 2 species